rnacentral:rRNA from 1 species
UACAGAGGGGGCAAGCGUUGUUCGGAAUUACUGGGCGUAAAGGGCGCGUAGGCGGCCUUCUCAGUCGAACGUGAAAUCCCCGGGCUCAACCCGGGAACUGCGUCCGAUACUGGAAGGCUCGAAUCCGGGAGAGGGAUGCGGAAUUCCAGGUGUAGCGGUGAAAUGCGUAGAUAUCUGGAGGAACACCGGUGGCGAAGGCGGCAUCCUGGACCGGUAUUGACGCUGAUGCGCGAAAGCCAGGGGAGCAAACGGG